rnacentral:rRNA from 1 species
CCUACGGGUGGCAGCAGUGGGGGAUAUUGGACAAUGGGGGAAACCCUGAUCCAGCGAUGCCGCGUGAGGGAAGAAGGUCCUCGGAUUGUAAACCUCUGUGGAGGGGGACGAAAAUGACGGUACCCCUUUAGGAAGCCACGGCUAACUACGUGCCAGCAGCCGCGGUAAUACGUAGGUGGCGAGCGUUGUCCGGAAUUACUGGGUGUAAAGGGGGUGUAGGCGGGAAAGCAAGUCAGAAGUGAAAGCUAUGGGCUUAACCCAGAGACUGCUUUUGAAACUGUUUGUCUUGAGUGCAGUAGAGGCAGGCGGAAUUCCUAGUGUAGCGGUGAAAUGCGUAGAUAUCAGGAGGAACACCAGUGGCGAAGGCGGCUUGCUGGGCUGCUACUGACGCUGAGGCUCGAAAGCGUGGGGAGCAAACAGGAUUAGAUACCCGAGUAGUC